rnacentral:misc_RNA from 1 species
AAAUAAGCAAUAAAAGGAACGAGAUGACUGUUCUUGUACACAUGAUGUGUUCAACAUUUACAGCGGCUUUUGAGAGUUGUGUUUACAAUGUCUCAGGUGUAAUUAAUUUGCUACUUACAGGAUAGAUAUUAGUCAAUUCAUGGAUGUGACACAAUAUCUUACUCUAAAUUGAUAUAACCAUGCGUAAAAAACUCAAAGGUAAAUAAAUAAAAAAGAGAUUUGGUACAGUAUUUUCAUCACUUUGAUAGUUUUUAAAUCAUGUAAACUUAAUUAAAGUGCAUGAUAAAGUAUCUUUGCUUUCUUCAAUUAAAGCAAUUAAAAAAAAUACGUUUGCAUAUGUUGCAUAUACCGAUUUAUAUAUUCUUUUAUACUACGUAUACUCUAUUUCAAGUAUUAUUGUGGGUUUUUUAAAGCAAAUAUGUUAAACAAACAACAUACCACUGUUUAUAUAUGUAAUGUGUUCUUUAAGGAUACCAGUGUUGUUCAUGUAAUUGUUACAUAUAUGAAAUACAUAUAAAUAGAAAUGCAUGAAGUUAUGUAUCGAUGAAAAAAGGGUUGUAAUAAAAUUAGUACAAAAU